UUCCUAAACUUUCUGAAUAUUAUGUCAUAUUUACUAUUCGUUUUUAAAAGUAUAUUUUCUUUGUUCUUUUUCUUCCCUUCUCAGCUGUACCCAAGACAUAUCUAAGGUUCUGGGCCAGGGACUGAAUCUGAGCUGCAGCUGCAACCUACCCCACAGUUAAGGCAACGCUGGAUCCUUAACCCACUGUGCCAGGCUGGGGGUUGAACCUGUAUUGCCACAGAGAUAAUGCCAGAUCCUUAACCUGCUGUGCCACAGGGGGAACUCCUAAAAGUAUGUAUUCAAUGCUCCUAACUCAAAUUACUCCCAGCACUUUCACUGAGGAAGUUCUAAGUCAUUCAUUCAUUCAGCAAAUGCCUCCUAGGAUGGGAGCAAAACAGCCACAGUCCCCGACCUCAUGGAGCUCACAUUCUAGUGGGAUGGCGACGCCUGAAUCAAUUCAUGUCAUAAAUUAGUCCAGGAUAACAAAUUAUGACGUAUAGUCUUUUUUGCUGUAACGUGUUUCUGGGAGGCAAAUUAAUUCAUUAAGUGAUUAGUAAAUGGAAAAAUGAUGUCAGUCUAACACAAAAGUUGUGUUGAUUCACAGGCGGUCUUCCCACACAAGAGGAGCCAGAACGACAGCCAGUGAAAUACAACCUUUAACAAGAGAGGGAAGGGCUCUAGGCUCUUGGGCUUUAGGGACAGCAGGAGCUCUUUCAUGUGUAUUUCACAAACCUUAAAAGCAAGCCCUUCCCCAGGAGUCUGUGCAGGAGACGCGAAGCUCUGUGCGGCUUUCAGCAUCUGCCAAGGCAGCCUCUGGGCGAGCACGCAGCCUCAUCACAGCCCCGCCAGCUUACAGCUCCAUCUCCUUCUGCGUUAUCUUUGCACCUGCCGCCUCUGCUCUGAUUAAAAUGCUGCUGGCAUUUCACUCUACUUUUUUGUGUGUAUUUUUAAUAGCUACCAUGAGCGCUUCCAGCUAUAUUGAGCUGGUACCAGUUUUUGGUUUUCUCAGCACUCUGGUUACAAAGCGAAGUGUUGAGUGGUUGGUCCCAACUCCAUUUUCUCCAGAAGCUGUCUCAUUUUUUUGCUUGCAAGUUUACGAAAUGAGGUCUUUCGAAAGAUACCUAUCAUGGAAUAUAAUUGCCUGCCCUGGUAAGGACAAUUUUACAGUUCUAAAAGACCUUGACCUGAUAUGGGAAUCGCAUGCAUGAAGGUCUCAAGCAAAGACAAGAAUACAAGAAGGAAGAGUCCGCCAGAAAAAAACACAGCCUUCAGUAAGCUGUCCUUUUAUCACCUCAAAUUCUCUGCCAGAAUUAAGAGAGCUCUGUUCACUUCAGAUGGUGAAGCAUUCCUUUAUCUACAACCUGCGGCAGGGCGAGGCAGGGCAGGGUGGGAUGGAGUGGGACGGGAUCAGAGGAGGAAACAACAGUGAUGAGGCUAAUUCAGUGUUUCUCAACCUUGGCUGAACCUUAGACUCAAGUGGGAAGCUUCUCACAAAUACAGAUACUCAAGUUCAUCCAGAUCGCACUGGUGCUGUGCAAGGCCUGAGCAUCACUAGGUUUGAAAAGUCCCCUAAGUGCUUUCAAUGUGAAGCCAGGACUAAGAACCACUAGACCCGAGGAAGACGUCCACCAACAGCCAGAGGACUGGAGAUGAGGUCUUAGGAGGAAUUAAAAAACAAAACCCUGAUAUUAUUUAUGCAUUAAAAAGCUGUGCAAAUGUAAUUAGUCCGUAUCACUGAAUAUUCAUUUUCCCCAACAAAAGUCUUUAAGGAUAUUUCUGAGGGUGCAGGUAGGGCUGGAGGUAAGCAGAGCUGGAGCAUGAGGGCCAAGACCCGGAACGCAAAGCUGGCUGCCAGCUGAGGCGGCAGGUAGGGCUGGCACCAAAAGGCUAGGAUCUUCAAUGCACUGGGAGAUGAAGGGGAGGGAAGAGGAGGUGGGGGAGGCUUGGAGAAACUUCCAGAGGUAUUUAGAUAAGCGAUUCAAAAGGAGCUCCUGACAUGGCACACUGAAACUGGAGCAUAGACUCUUUAAAAACACAGCCAUCUGUGGAAUGUCAAAAUAAAGAAUAAAAAUGGAUAGAGAGGUUUCAACACAAUCCUAUUAUACGGAGGUAGAAAAGCAGGUUACACUGGAGGUUUCAAACUUGGUGAUCAGAGCUGGAGGAAGGGGUAUUUUAAAAAUACAGAUUUCUGGAGUUCCUGUUGUGGCUCAGUGGAAACAAAUCCAACUAGUAUCCGCGAGGAUGCCGGUUCGAUCCCUGGCCUCGCCCAGUGGGUUAGAAAUCUGCCAUUGCCAUGAGCUAUGGUGUAGGUCACAGAUGCCACUCAGAUCUGGCGUUGCUGUGGCUGUGGCAUAGGCUGGCAGCUGCAGCUCCAAUUCAAUCCCUAGCCUGGAACUUCCAUAUGCCUUGGGUGUGGCCCUAAAAAAGAAAAAAAAAAGAGAAAGAAAACUAAAUAAUAAUAAAUAAAAAUAUAGAUUUCUGAGUCCGGUGUCAAAGGUAUGAGGCAGGAAAUGAUAAAUUAAUAAUAUCAAUGGCUGUUACUUUUUACAUGGUAUUUACAAUGUGCCAGGCAAUCUUGGUCUGAGCACUUUGUACGUAUCAUCUGAUUUAGUGCCCCUAACAACUCUAAUGGUUAACUGGGACAGAGAGAAACAACUUGCCCACAGUAAAGGGUGGAUCAGGCUUCAAACCCGCAGACCUGCAUAGAGUCUGUGCUCUUUCUUCAUCUUUUAAAACACUCUUCUCCUUCCCAGUAUUGGGGCUGCUAGUAUGUGAGAACCACUCAACUAUGGUCUUUCAAAGUCACUUUUAGCCACACCAUGCUGUCAGAUCAGGCUCAGUAUCAACACCACCUUCUAUUGUUGGGUUUUAAAUCAAGAAGCAUUAUCUCCUCGAUGAAGAAUUUACAAUAUGCUCGGGAGUUCCUGUUGCGGCGCAGCAGAAGUGAAUCAGACUAAGAACCAUGAGGUUGAGGGUUCAAUCCCUGGCCCUGCUCAGUGGGUUAAGGAUCCAGCAUUGCUGUGGGCUGUGGUGUAGGUCACAGACCUGGCUCGGAUCUGGCAUUGCUGUGGCUGUGGUGUAGGCAGGCAGCUGUAGCUCUGAUUGGACCCCUAGCCUGGGAACCUCCAUAUGCCGCAGGUGCAGCCCUAAAAAGA